GGAGAGACAGCUAGUUGGUUUAUGGAAAAUUUGGUUUUCGAAAAGAGCCAAUAGGACUG
rnacentral:tRNA from 1 species